AGGAGAGCUACACUUACUGUUUGUGGUGUUUGCUAUCCCUCCGAGGCCACGGUCAGCUUCUACCAGGGCAAGUGAGCGGUGGAGCGACAGUCUGAGGACAGAGCCCUUCCCGAGGGAGGGCAGGCGGGGCUGUGCCAGCAGCCUCGGAAUGACCACGCAAAGGCUCGCUGGACAGCACGACGCCUGCGACAGCAUUUCCCUCUAGUGACUAACAUCCAACACUGUGCUGCUCAGAGGAUAUCGAGAAUUUGGCAACAGUCCUUUGCGUUAACUUUCCUCAAAACAGGCUUAUCUUUAAUUCCUGGAAACCAGGUAGUUCUGGAAGAUGGGCACGAUACACGCUGUGGUUUUUAUGUCAAGAUAAGAAUUUCAAAGGCGUCAGACGCGCAGACCUGAGUGCGAGUGAGGCCCAGGAAGCAAGGGAGGCGGGCUGUCCACGCGGUUCCUUACCGACCGGGGCAUACAGGGUCACUGUGCCACUCCGGUCCCCACAGUGGUCCUACUUCCUGACUGCCGGAGCGGACGUGUCCUUGUGCCCCGCGCGGUGUGCGAGGCGCCCGGGUCCCCGGAGGCCAGUGUUGGCACGGGAGGGCGAGACUUCACAGGCCACGGGCACAGCACCAGUCGUUCUGACGCUGAGGGAUCCGGAGGUGUUGGGGCGGCUUUCGUUUUGUUUCUGCUUCACAUUGGUGACAAAGGGGUGAAGCUGACAUUCAUAAAGACCGAAUCACACCCCCCCCAACCCCCCCCACCCCCCAGCAAAACGAGCUCUCCCUCAGAUUCAGAGCAAAGCCCUGGCAGGAAGGCCCUUCGAGCUCAGCCGCCACGCCUCAGCCUUGUUGUGCUCGGAUUCGUAAACCAGUUUUCUAGAGAUUUUCAAAGUUAGUGUUAUUUGCUCAUUAGUUUUAAGUUUUUGGAAAGAGGAUAACCAUAUUUAAAAUAAUUUUUCCAGCAUCUCCUUCAGAUCGUAGAAUUUGAAAAUAUCAAAAGUGACUUAAAACUCACAAGAUUUUACUACCGUCAAGUACAAAAAUAAGUUAAUCUCCCCAAAGUGCGCUGCAAAGCCAGUCUGGUGGUCUGACUUCUGGUGGGAGAGGAGAAGCGAGGGGCGGCCCUGAAGAGCGGAGCCCGGAGGCCUCGGGAAUCCCGCAGGCCCUGAGCCGGGGCGCCAGGGCAUGGGAACGCUGCUGGGCUCGUCGUGGAACAACCUUCCAGGUUGUUUGGGGAAGAAGGAGCAUAAAUCUAUAAACCAAUCCAGUAUUUUCUUGGGACGAUUUGAGAGAAACGAGUUCUACGCGGAAACACCCCACAGUUCCCCGGGUCCCACUGAGCAAGUGCAUUUCCAGAGGUCACCUAAGCCACACGCAGGAGGGGUCCACGGAUGACCAAGCUCUCGUGUCUCCUUCGUGGCCGCGGAUGGCUCCUUCCUCCAGGAUCACGAUAGGAGAAGGGCAGAGGGACGCCUGGGUGAGACCCUGUUCAUAGCGAGCGAGGCCCCGUCGGCGCCAUGGAGCCUCACACCCGAAGCAGACUCUUCCCCGUGGUCCGAGCCCGGCAGAGACCGCUGCCCCCAAGGGCUCACGUCACCAAACCACGGAGAAGAAGUUAAACGGGGGGGUCCGGGUCCAAGCAUGUCCUGCAGUUGCACGAGGCAGAGGCAAUGAUGGGAGAGAAACAGACAGGAGAGACCUCGGGAGUUUUCAACAAGGGACGUGUGUACGUCUCUGUUCUCCUCCGGUGGUUUUAAGAAGAACGGAGCAGAAACAAGCAUCUGCUGCCGAGUAUUCCAUUCCCUUCCCUCCCAUCGUCGGCACGGAGGCCGCGGGCCCCACGGGGCGCACUUGGCUGCCUGGCAUCCGGGACCCCUGCCCUUGGUGCUCCGGACUCCCCAGGGUCAAGAGAAACUUCCAAAGAGAAGAGACCUUCGUGCUCCCAGGAGCUCCUCCCAUGGUGUGGCCAGGCCUCGUAAGGAGUAAAAGUUAGUGACGUCUCACAGAGAAGUUCCAGGCCCGACGCCCACAGAUGGCGCCUCGGGCCCCCAGCACGAGUGCCUGGCGGUGGCGUCCUGGCUGGGCGCGUGUGACCAGCACAACUCCCGUUUUCUGUGAACAGACCCCCAGGGGUGACAGGAGAGUAGCAAGUAGGUGCAACGGUCCCAGACUCUGCGUCUCUCCUCAGACCCCGAAAGAACAAUUUUCGGGAAAAGCCCGAUCUCCCACGUGCUCUGGGUCCCCAGGGUGGGGAGCACCUGGCCGUGCCCUGCUGCCGGGACUGUCCCCUGCCGGGCCGCGGGCGCACGAAGCCCCGACAGAACCAUUUCUGUGAACUCGGCGCUUCACACAAACUCACCGCGGGGCCGCACCCCCACCGAGUUGGCCCCUUUCCCUGGGAGAAUUCAGGGCCGCAUCAGUAAAUACACGUUUCAGUCGGUGGUAAUUUGUGAAAACAAGUUUAGCAAAAAUCUAUUGAGAAUAAAAGCCAGAAACUGGUAAAGAAAAGCCCAAUGAAAAAAAUAUACAAAGUCUUCCCCCAAAUGUUGGUAAGAACCUAGUGCGUUCAGGGACAGGCCCAGGUGAGAUGCGCCAGACCUGGCCUGGGCCGGGGAGGCCGCUCCGAGAGGCCCCGCGCUUGCAAGGCCCACGGGGUGGCACCAUUCAGUCCAAAUCCACGACAGAAAAAACUACGGGACAGCUUACAACACUGUCACUAUCACCACUCCUGGGGCCGGCUCCUCACUAGGAUGGAAAAGAAGCAUUUUGAGGAAAAAUUUCACAUUAGUACAAAAAAACCCCAAAAUCAUACAGCUGUUUCAGAAGAGCAAAAUAAUGAUCAAAAUCAUGGUUUCCAAGGAAUCCAGGGUCUGAGUCCUUGCCCGGGCCCCGCCCUGGUCUCUACUGAGUGACGAAGGCAGGUGAGCUGGCCAAGUGACUUGGUUAAGAUGAAAGAGAUCAUAGUGAGCCUUUAGAAAAAUACUACCCUCUACAUUUCAGGUGAGAUAAAAACAUUUCAUAUG